rnacentral:rRNA from 1 species
CAGUAGCCACGGGAAUACGUAGGUGGCAAGCGUUGUCCGGAAUUAUUGGGCGUAAAGGGCUCGCAGGCGGUUUCUUAAGUCUGAUGUGAAAGCCCCCGGCUCAACCGGGGAGGGUCAUUGGAAACUGGGAAACUUGAGUGCAGAAGAGGAGAGUGGAAUUCCACGUGUAGCGGUGAAAUGCGUAGAGAUGUGGAGGAACACCAGUGGCGAAGGCGACUCUCUGGUCUGUAACUGACGCUGAGGAGCGAGAGCGUGGGGAGCGAACAGGAUUAGAGACCCGAGUAGUCCCUGUCUCUUAUAC